CCCCUCUCAGGGUCGCAUCUGUAGAGUUUCCAAUCCUCUUCCAGUCUCGACUACGGGAGAGAGAGUCGAGCAGAGGCCUGCCCAUUCCAUUCCUAGCUUGGCCAGUGGCUAGCAAGUGGAAGUCAAUCUGCUACAAGU